rnacentral:sRNA from 1 species
UUCCCUAGGAGAAAAAUUGUCACCGUUGUUGAAAGUAAUCGAAUUAUUCUCUUCUACACAGCCGUUCUAAGUCAUGGUCAUUGCCUUUUGUGUUGGAGGGUGGUCCAAGGGCUUAUGCCUGUGGUGGUGUGGAUCGUGCUGUCCCCUGUGACAAGGGCUGGGAGCUAUCCAAGAGAGAACAUACUGUCCAGAGAGAACAGAAGACAGGAGGGACAGAGGACAGUAAGGGCAGUCUCAGACAAGCCUUAGAGGUCUCAUGGAAUGCCACGGGAGAUGCUACAAAAGCUACCACCCACAGCCAGCCUGUCCUUUCAGCUCAAGCCACUGCCUUGUUUCUUAGAGACACUUGGCCCUGUGCCCAAGGAAAAUGCUCUCCCAGCAGGCUAAGAAGCUAAGGCUUGCUAAGGGGCCACCCGGCAGCGUCUGCUUUUGAUCUCGAGAUGCUCUCUGCUGCCCUGAACCCUUUUUUGGAGAGAGGUCAGGAAGCAGGAGGAGUCUGAUGUCCAGAUCAGCCGUUUAAGGGGAAGGCAGUGCCUCAGGGCAGCUCAGUGCUGCAGUGUCUUCUUCCCCCACAAGCCAGCAAGAAGCCAUGGACAGAACUGUUCAGACAAGCUUGCCCUACCCAGCCAGAACCGCUGUUUUCUCAGACAGCAGAGAGGUUUCUUCACGAGCAGUUUGUAGAUGCCGUGGGAGAUGCCUUUUAGUGUGGAAUGAACCCGUUAAAUCUCAAGAAACCCCGAGGCAGAGGACUAAGAGAUGUUGAAGAGAAGAUGAGUCUGUGUGUUUAUCUGUGCUUAGAGGGCUCCGAUGGGAACAGAGCUCUCAAAUGAAAGCGUGCGCCCUGUGUGUUGGUGGAAGAAACCAGCAGGCAGGCAUCCAGGCCGGGCUCGAUCCUUUUCCACCUCCGUGCGUGGUAAUUUUAGGACUCCCUUCCCAGAUAAGACAGAAUAUUGGGACCAUACACCAUGUAAGCCUGUCCACUCAGAUAUUUUGUGUAAUUGAAGUGUAUAUGAUUUUAAGAUGCUCAGAAACAGGAUUUUGGCAGGAAACCCAUAGCCAUCAUGGUCACAGAAGUCUUUCAGAGCCGGAAGUGACUUUGAGUGGAGAGUCAACAAAAGCAAUUUGCAAAGCAAAGGCCUGAGGCUUGGUUCUGAGUGUCCCAGUUCUGGGAAGAGUGAGCCUCUCUAGCAGAUAAUAAUUCAUAAGUAGUGACUGAUUGCUUAAGAUUUCUGGAACUGAGAAUCCUAGCUGGCCUCACUCUCGGAGCAGUCUGGUGGUAUUUCAACACUGCUGGUUCUUGAAGCAAAAUGUAGGAGACAAAGCCCUCCCUGCCAGACACUGAGUGGGGUAUUUCUUUAAAUAAAACUAAAUUUCUUUAGUUUGCAUCGGGGUGUGAAGCAGUAUGGGCAACGUGAGACAGUUUUUGUUUCUUCAAACCAGGCUGCUCACUGCUGCAGAAAACAACCUUGUUCUUGAGAGCUGCUGCUAAUUUACAGCGAGACACUGGGUUCCCACCCAGUACCACAUGAGCGACCAAUCCAUCUACCCAGGGGCACGUCCCGGAAGAGCCUCACUGAGGAGGGAAGAAGUAUGGGUGUCGUUUGUAGUUUCCUGUGCGUUAAGGAAAAUCUGGUGGUGAAAAAUCUGACUGGCAACAUGGGAUCUCCAUUAUUUCUUUGCCUGCUGAGAUUCCUGGGAGUGUUGAGGGGAAAAACAACCGCAGGCCCUCGGGUGUGAGCUUUAGAAAACAACAGAAAUGUAUUGCUUCUGCUGCUUCUCUAAUUUCUACUGGCAAACAAUAACAGGUAUGUGGGGUUUGGUUGGGUGUUUUUUUUUUGUUUGUUUGUUUGUUUUGUUUUGUUUUGUUUUGUUUUGUUUUUGCAGGAAAUCCAGCAUCCCUGGAUGUUGAGGACAGGGGUAGCAUCUCUCUUUUGCCACUGCAGCUCUAGCAGGGGCAGAGGGCGGGGCUGUCAGUUACAGUGGUGCGGUGCGGGAGGAGGAGGCUCCAUGACCCUCCCCUAGCCUCCACUUCUAUGAGCAUCCGAUUCCCCACAUUAAAUUCCGUCUGCCCAAAUCAGCUGCAGGUGAGCAGGUCAGAUGGCGGGGCUCCCAGGGCAGGUGCUGUCAAGGCCGACGCCCUCCACGAGUGCUCUGUCCUCACGUGUGCUAUAGCACGCAGGUA